UGGGGAAUAUUGGACAAUGGAGGAAACUCUGAUCCAGCAAUUCUGUGUGUGUGAAGAAGGUUUUAGGACUGUAAAACACUUUUAGUAGGGAAGAAAAAAAUGACGGUACCUACAGAAGAAGCAACGGCUAAAUACGUGCCAGCAGCCGCGGUAAUACGUAUGUUGCGAGCGUUAUCCGGAAUUAUUGGGCUUAAAGGGCAUCUAGGCGGUAAGACAAGUUGAAGGUGAAAACCUGUGGCUCAACCAUAGGCUUGCCUACAAAACUGUUGGACUAGAGUACUGGAAAGGUGGGUGGAGCUACACGAGUAUAGGUGAAAGUCGUAGAUAUGUGUAGGAAUGCCGAUGAUGAAGAUAACUCACUGGACAGAAACUGACGCUGUAAUGCGCAAGCUAGGGGAGCAAACAGG
rnacentral:rRNA from 1 species